UCCAGUUUAUCCUGCUGGCGGCUGCGGCUAUCUGGCCUGCAAUUAGACAUGCAAGUCUUUUGAAAGAAGGCGAACUGCUCAGUAACACGUAGCUAACCUACCCUUAAGUCAGAAAUAACCUCGGGAAACUGAGGCUAAUAUCUGAUAGGAAAUAUCCUCUGGAAUGAGAUACUUUUUAAAUUCGAGCUUAAGGAUGGGGCUGCGGCUGAUUAGGCAGUUGGCGGGGUAAAGGCCCACCAAACCUAUGAUCAGUAAGGGCUCUUAGCGGAGGGGCCCUGAGAGGGAAUCUGAGACACUAUUCCCAGCUCUACGGAGUGCAGCAGUUAGGGAGAUUUUGCAAUGCGCGAGAGCGUGACAAAGCGAGCCAGAGUGUUUUUUUAAAGAAGAAACUUUUGUAUGAUGCAAAAAGUCAUGCGAAUAAGGACUGGGCAAGACUGGUGCCAGCCGCCGCGGUAACCCCAGCGGUCCAAGUCGCAGCCACAUUUAUUUGGUCUAAAACAUCUGUAGCUUGUCUUGUAAGUCUCACGUGAAAUCUUGCAUCUUAAGUGUAAGGCGUGCAUGAGAUACUGUAAGGCUAGAGACCGGAAGACGCAAGGAGUACAUUCAAGGAAGUGGUAAAAUACGUUAAUCUUGAAUGGACUAACAACAGCGAAGGCACCUUGCGAGGACGGAUCUGACAGUGAGGGAUGAAGGCUAGGGGCGCAAAAUGGAUUAGAUACCCAUGUAGUCCUAGCAGUAAACACUGCGCACUAAACAUUGGUAUCUCCUCGAGAGAUAUCAGUGCUGUAGGGAAGCCGAAGAGUGCGCUACCUGGGAAGUAUAGCCGCAAGGCCGAAACUUAAAGGAAUUGGCGGGGGAGUACAACAACGGGUGACGCGUGCGGUUCAAUUAGAAUCUACACCGUGAACCUCACCAGGAGCGAUAGCAGAAUGAAGGUCAGUCUGAAGGGCUUACCUGACACGCUAAGAGGAGUUGCAUGGCCGACGUCAGCCUGUGUCGUGAGAUGACCUGUUAAAUCAGGUAACAGGCGAGACCCAUGUGUAUAUUUAAAUUAACUAUAUACAGACUGCCCUGGCAACAGGGAGGAAGGUGUGGGCUACGUUAGGUGAGUACGGCCCGAAUCCCCUGGGCUACACGCGCGCGGCAAUGCUGCAUUCAAUGAGAUGCAACUCUGAAAAGAGAAGCUAAUCCCAUAAACUGCAGCUUAGUUCAGAUUGCAGGCUGCAACUUGCCUGCAUGACGAUGGAAUCUGUAGUAAUCGUUCGUUAGCAACGAACGGUGAAUAAGUCCCUUCUCCUUGCACACACCGCCCGUCAAACCAACCGAGUUAUGCUUUGGUGAGGAUCGCAAGAGACGAACCUCAGUAUGACAAGGUAGGUUAAGUCGUCACAAGGUA
rnacentral:rRNA from 1 species